UCACAGGGAGUGAACACAAAUGGAGCUGCUGUCCAGUUCUGGGUCUCUCGAAAGUGACCCUGUCCUAAAGGCAAUUUCAUCUCAGGCAUAAAACGAUACUCGAAGCCCCGAUCCUUUACCAUUCACUAAUUUUAAGACAUAAAGACCGGAAGACUCUCACAUUGCCACUAUAAUUGUGUCAACACCCUGCACGGUGGCACUGCGAGAGACAGUGGGAACUUAGUUCUGGCUUCCUUAGUUUGAACUUUGCUCUAAAGAACUCACAUGUUUUGAUUUAGUUUUUUUUUUUUUUUUUUUUUUUUUGGCAGGCCAUGCAGGCCUGCUUAGAACAAGGUGACAAUAAGGUCAGAGUGGAAGCAGCUCACAACGCCUCCCUCUUCCAGGCAGCUGCCCUUGGGCCGUCAUCCAAGUUGGCAGCAAGAAACUUAACCCGGCCAAGUAAGAAAGUCAGGUGUGUGAGCACGCUCGACAAAGCCCGGCCGUCAUGGCCCAGUCUUCAGCAAAUGUUCCGAAGACUCAUGGCCUCCUGACCCAAUCUAUGUGGUGAACUCGGCAGAGCCGAGCCCAGAGGCAAGGCCACCACCCUCUCCUGCCUCCAGCCAAAUUCAGAGGGCAACACAAA
rnacentral:lncRNA from 1 species